rnacentral:misc_RNA from 1 species
CCCUAUCUGUUUUUGUCUGUUGUCCAUACCUUGUAUAUUUUCAUCAUGCGAUUUUGAGCGUAUUGUGCUCAUUUUUGUGUUCCAUUGUUGAGUUUGAAAGCAAAAAACAUUGCGAAGUUCAGAUAGCUGACUAGUGUAUGCCGUCAUUGGAGCCCCAGAUGAUACAAUGAUAUCAGAUGUAUAAUACCCUAGGGUAUUCAAUGGUAAAACCCACUGCCUGUCCUGCUGCGGGCCGUAGCCAUGAUUCCACUGCUGUAUCGCUGAGUCGACAAGGAGGCGUCCCAUCUGCUGCAGUAGGGACCAGAGAUCGACGGCGGAAUUGUUGGUUCACAACCACGGGAAUUAGUGUCAGCAAUAAAACGCUGGGCUUCAGCUUGAGACUCAAGUCUUAUGUACCCUACGCUUAGCCACAAAGCGAGUCGUAUCCGAUUUCCGUCGCCAAACGAAGGUCUAUCCAGGCAUUACUGAGACACACGGAGUCCUAUUCUAGCCAGACAGAAUCGUAUCCCAGCAGGACGGAAGCGCACCCAUUGCACGAUCCGAACCUAACAAGCGAUCGUCAUCCCUCGACCUGGCCAUCAACAACAAGGACUUUGAGUAUGACAGCCAAGGGAAGAGCUACGCGGGCUACUACACUCUAGAUGUGCAUACCUCGUCGUUGUUAUGUUUAAGGAUAUACGCGUCCAUACAUUUAGAUAGUAGAUACAAAGGUUUUCCACUUGUUUAUAUAUUUAUACUAAGCUAAGUUAUGAUGAAUAAAACUAUUGAAAAAUUAUCCUUGCUGUGUUUUGUAUAGGGGAAACAAUCCCGAUUUAAAAUAGGCGUCGAACGCCCAGAUCGGUUCACAAAUAGCGGAGAAAACUAAAUAUUUUUGAUUGGGGAAAAUGUCCUUGAUCCUUGAUAAGGACUCCAUCAAAUCAGGGACUUUUUCAAGCAUAGGAAUGGCCAGAUUGACCAGGAAAUAUCCGAAAAAACUAAAUAUGUAUGGUUCGGGCUGUUGGAGUCCUUACCGAAGGAUCAAGGACAAUUUUCUGAUCACAGGGGGCCAUGGCAGCCCCGAUCGGAAACAAAAACGGAGAAAACAAGAUAUAUAUGUCUAGAGAAGAUAUCCUUGAUCCUUGAAAAUGACUCCAUGAAAUCAGGGGCAUUUUUCCGAUCACAGGAAGCC